GGGGUACACGAGUGGCGAACGUGUGUAGUAACACGUGGGUAAUCUGCCCUGCACUUCGGGAUAAGCCUGGGAAACUGGGUCUAAUACCGGAUAUGAACUCCUGCCGCAUGGUGGGGGUUGGAAAGUUUUUCGGUGCAGGAUGAGCCCGCGGCCUAUCAGCUUGUUGGUGGGGUAAUGGCCUACCAAGGCGACGACGGGUAGCCGGCCUGAGAGGGUGAUCGGCCACACUGGGACUGAGACACGGCCCAGACUCCUACGGGAGGCAGCAGUGGGGAAUAUUGCACAAUGGGCGAAAGCCUGAUGCAGCGACGCCGCGUGGGGGAUGACGGUCUUCGGAUUGUAAACCCCUUUCAGUAGGGACGAAGCGCAAGUGACGGUACCUGCAGAAGAAGCACCGGCUAACUACGUGCCAGCAGCCGCGGUAAUACGUAGGGUGCGAGCGUUGUCCGGAAUUACUGGGCGUAAAGAGCUCGUAGGCGGUUUGUCACGUCGUCUGUGAAAUCCCUCGGCUUAACCGGGGGCGUGCAGGCGAUACGGGCAGACUUGAGUACUACAGGGGAGACUGGAAUUCCUGGUGUAGCGGUGAAAUGCGCAGAUAU
rnacentral:rRNA from 1 species